UGACCGGAGCAAUGCCGCGUUGAGUGAAGAAGGUUUUCGGGAUCGGUAAAACUCUGUUUGUUGGAGAAGAACAGGGGUGAGGAGUAACUGCCUCACCCCAUUGACGGUAUCUAACCAAAAAGCCACGGGCUAACUACGUGCCAGCAGCCGCGGUAAUACGUAGGUGGCAAGCGUUGUCCGGAUUUAUUGGGCGUAAAGCGAGCGCAGGCGGUUUCUUAAGUCUGAUGUGAAAGCCCCCGGCUCAACCGGGGAGGUGCAUUGGAAACUGGGAGACUUGAGUGCAGAAAAGGAGAGUGGAAUUCCAUGUGUAGCGGUGAAAUGCGUAGAUAUAUGGAGGAACACCAGUGGCGAAGGCGGCUCUCUGGACUGUAACUGACGCUCAGGCUCGAAAGCGUGGGGAGCAAACAGGAUUAGAUACCCUGGUAGUCCACGCUGUAAACGAUGACUGCUAAGAGGUGGAGGGUUUCAGGCCUUCAUUGCUGAACUUAACGCAUUAAUCACUCCGCCGGGGAAGUACGACCGCCAAGGUUGAA
rnacentral:rRNA from 1 species